GGGCCCCGUGCACUUCCUGUGUGGGGCGCAGAAACCCGCCUCCCAGGUCUGCCUCAGGUGCCUGCUUCAGACCAUGAAGUGAUACACCAAACUCAUCUCCGCCAUCUUAGUAGAAAGGGGGAAGGAUGCCGCGGAGCAUUUUCUGGAACAUCCUGGGCUUCUGCCUCUUAGCAGUUGGCACUUGGGGACAGGAAGG